UGCAGUCGAGCGGAACGACUUAUCUGAACCUUCGGGGAACGUUAAGGAGCGUCGAGCGGCGGACGGGUGAGUAAUGCCUGGGAAUAUGCCUUGAUGUGGGGGAUAACCAUUGGAAACGAUGGCUAAUACCGCAUAAUCUCUUCGGAGCAAAGAGGGGGACCUUCGGGCCUCUCGCGUCAAGAUUAGCCCAGGUGGGAUUAGCUAGUUGGUGAGGUAAUGGCUCACCAAGGCGACGAUCCCUAGCUGGUCUGAGAGGAUGAUCAGCCACACUGGAACUGAGACACGGUCCAGACUCCUACGGGAGGCAGCAGUGGGGAAUAUUGCACAAUGGGCGCAAGCCUGAUGCAGCCAUGCCGCGUGUGUGAAGAAGGCCUUCGGGUUGUAAAGCACUUUCAGUCGUGAGGAAGGUGGUGUAGUUAAUAGCUGCAUUAUUUGACGUUAGCGACAGAAGAAGCACCGGCUAACUCCGUGCCAGCAGCCGCGGUAAUACGGAGGGUGCGAGCGUUAAUCGGAAUUACUGGGCGUAAAGCGCAUGCAGGUGGUUUGUUAAGUCAGAUGUGAAAGCCCGGGGCUCAACCUCGGAACCGCAUUUGAAACUGGCAGGCUAGAGUACUGUAGAGGGGGGUAGAAUUUCAGGUGUAGCGGUGAAAUGCGUAGAGAUCUGAAGGAAUACCGGUGGCGAAGGCGGCCCCCUGGACAGAUACUGACACUCAGAUGCGAAAGCGUGGGGAGCAAACAGGAUUAGAUACCCUGGUAGUCCACGCCGUAAACGAUGUCUACUUGGAGGUUGUGGCCUUGAGCCGUGGCUUUCGGAGCUAACGCGUUAAGUAGACCGCCUGGGGAGUACGGUCGCAAGAUUAAAACUCAAAUGAAUUGACGGGGGCCCGCACAAGCGGUGGAGCAUGUGGUUUAAUUCGAUGCAACGCGAAGAACCUUACCUACUCUUGACAUCCAGAGAACUUUCCAGAGAUGGAUUGGUGCCUUCGGGAACUCUGAGACAGGUGCUGCAUGGCUGUCNUCAGCUCGUGUUGUGAAAUGUUGGGUUAAGUCCCGCAACGAGCGCAACCCUUAUCCUUGUUUGCC
rnacentral:rRNA from 1 species